rnacentral:rRNA from 1 species
CACGCAUGACACACUGCAUAUCAAUAAGCGGAGGAAAAGAAACUAACAAGGAUUCCCCUAGUAACGGCGAGUGAAGCGGGAAGAGCUCAAAUUUGAAAUCUUCAAGGUUUGACCUUGACGAAUUGUAGUUUAAAGAAGUGUUUUCGGUUAGAGGAGUAGUAAAAGUUCUUUGGAAUAGGACAUCAUAGAGGGUGAGAAUCCCGUAUUUGACUAUUCUUUCUAGCUUUGUGAUACACUUUCAAAGAGUCGGAUUGUUUGGGAAUGCAGUCCAAAAUGGGUGGUAAAUUUCAUCUAAAGCUAAAUAUUGGCGAGAGACCGAUAGCGAACAAGUACCGUGAGGGAAAGAUGAAAAGAACUUUGAAAAGAGAGUUAAACAGUACGUGAAAUUGUCAAAAGGGAAGCGUUUGACACCAGUGUUGUUUUUCCGAAAAUCAAUUACGAAUGUUUUGUUUUUGAGGAGUUAUGACUUCAUCGGCUUGCUUCUUUCUUUACGAAACUUUCUUAAUGCACUUUUCGGUUAACAAGUCAACAUCAAUUUCUUUUGUUGUAAAAGGGUAUGAGGAAGGUGGCUUUCUUUUCGGAGAAAGUGUUUAUAGCCUUGUACCUCUGCAAUCGGAGAGAUUGAGGUCUGCAGCGUAGAUCCUUCGGGGUUAGAUACAUUUGUGCUAAGUUAUAGUCUUUCAUAGACAACUUGUUGACUAUGUUUAGUCAUUGUAGCUUACUCGCUUAAGUGUUAUUUUACCUACGCUUAGGAUGUUGAGCGCAUGUCUCUCUCU